rnacentral:rRNA from 1 species
CAAUAGCGUAUAUUUAAGUUGUCGCAGUUAAAAAGCUCGUAGUCGGAUUUUGGCUGAGAACGAUCGGUCCGCCGUUAGGUGUGCACUGAUUGGUCUCAGCUUCCUGGUGAGGAGGUGUGCUUCACGGCCACUUAGUCACCGUGGUUACUUUGAAAAAAUUAGAGUGUUCAAAGCGGGCUUACGCUUGAAUAUAUUAGCAUGGAAUAACACCAUAGGACUCCUGUCCUAUUUCGUUGGUCUCGGGACGGGAGUAAUGAUUAAGAGGAACAGUUGGGGGCAUUCGUAUUUCAUUGUCAGAGGUGAAAUUCUUGGAUUUAUGAAAGACGAACUUCUGCGAAAGCAUUUGCCAAGGAUGUUUUCAUUGA